GAGGCUGUCGCUCAGUGGUUGAGUGCUUGUCUAGCACAUAGGAGGCACUGGGUUCCAUCCUCAGCACCACA
rnacentral:tRNA from 1 species